GCCUAGGUGGCUCAGUGGUUGAGCACCUGCCUUCAGCUCAGGUUGUGAUCUCGGAGUCCUGGGAUCAAGUCCCACUUCAGGCU
rnacentral:tRNA from 1 species